CCAUGGCUCACUGAGCAGGGCAGAGGCUCAGAAGCAGGUUACGUGCCUUCCUGCAGGGAUCCGGGGGGCCCAGCACAGCUGAGGUGGAAGGUGCUGAGCUGGGUCACUGCUCCAUCAGCCCCCUGGGGAGAAGCUCUGGGGGAGGCAGUUGGGAGAAGCAGGAGUGGCUCCGGGCUCCACUUCCUGAGCCAGGCGGCCGCACUGGCUGCGGGGAGACAGAAUGAGGCAAUAAAACGGGUGUCAGGGGCGAGGGGCGUGCUAAUGACUCCGUUUAACCUGUAAGAGAUGUGUGGUUCUUCAUGUUCAAGAGCUGGAAACAUGGGGUGCAGAUGGUGGGGAAAGGGCGCUUUUCCAUGAUGUGCCCCGUUCCCAGGCCACUUCCCAGUGGCCCCAGGGACUGCCCUGGGUCCCCAGGCUGAGGCACUCCUG